GCCUUCUAUACAUUUUUCUUUACCAUUCCACUCAUGUUGCACCAUGCACUUUUCACUCCGUUUCUCUUUUUUAUUCUUAUCCUCACUUGCUCAUUCACCCAUCUUUGGAGCAUAAUUAAAGAAUAUUCUUUAUACUCCAGUACACCAAAAUGCUCACUCUCACGCGACUCAUACACAACACACACUCUAUUUUUGUUUCUUGCUUUUCAAUUCACAUCCCUAGACACUCUCAGUCUCCCUAUAUGAACACACAUAGAAGAAGAAAGAAGGGAGACUCUAGGAACAAAAAGGGGGCUGAAACAAACCGAAAAGCGCACAGCGAUGGCAACAAAAACAAGUGAAAAAACGCUAAGGAGAAGACAUUUUCUUCUUCCCCAAAAUGCAGCUUCCUUUUGUAUAGCUAAUCCCCCAUUGUUCACCACUGUUUUCCUCAAUUAAUACCACCACGUGAAGCCCCCAAAAAGCCAUGAAAGAGCCUAGAAACCUCCAUUAAAAACCCUUUAAACUCUAUUUAAAACCAUCAUCUCCAGCCUGAUACCUCACUGUCCAAACCUUCCGUGAAUCGCAAAUCCCGCCCAAACACAAUCCAUAAAAUAACCCUUUUAACCAUUUGCUAACUCCAUUAAACCAUCCCAUAACAGUAGCCACUAAUCACCAAAAAACAGUCCCAUUUCUGCCAUUAAAAUCGAUCCAAAAACUAGCUGAAACCAACCCAAAACAGCAAAAAAACACAGAAGCUUCAGUCGAGGUCGAGGUUCGAAGUUCUCGAUGCUGUUUUUGUUUGGGGUUUGUUUGUAUGAAAGUCCAGCUGACCUUUGUUCCUGUUGUAUCGAAGAAUAUUUGGCUAUUGAAAGGUCAAUUUCUUGUUCUCCACUUUUUGGAUUCCAGGUCAUAUUAUACUUUCUAUAAGUUUGAGUGUUUUUCUUUUUAUCUUAUCUUCUUUGCUUAAUAUUGAUUUAUGAUUGGUCUUGUUAAAAUAUAUGGAAUACAAUUUGUUUUGGUUGAUCAUCUUGAUAUGAAUAUUGAGUUUUUAAAGUUAAUUACUGAAUCUUAGAAAGGAAAGAAUCAGGGAAAUGUUGUUGCAUGAUCGAUCGAUACUCUCAUUAGUGUUAGUGGGCCAUUCAUUAUUUGUUUACUUUGUUUGGGCUCGAAAUAAAAGAAAGUGACAUGAACUUAAAAGUUUUUUUAUUGUCUUUCUUUUUAAAAGCAUGCUGGCCCAAUAUCUUUAGUAUUUUCUUUAAAUUAGCUAGCCUAUCUUUUUUAAUUAAUAAAUAUUGAAAUAGCUCCAAAUAAUCCCAAAUUCUUCUUGAACAAUUCUUUAUCAAUACAUUAGUAAACAAAUCAGUCUAUGACCUCCGACAAUUCCAACAUAACUUUUGGGCUUCACAAUAAUCUCAAACUUAGAAAGAACAAUCAUAAACAUUGCUAGUAUACUUUUAGGUACGAUUAAAUAAUUUUAUUAUCAUGGUUAUGCGUACGAUUCUCGUGGCAUAACUAUAAUACAUAAAUCUAAAAUCAAGUGUGUUCAUGGGAUUUGAUCCAUUAACUUUAAAUAAUAAUAAAAAUAUUUACAUAUACUCUACCCUUACAAGACCAAGCUUGUGGGAGUACAUUGGGUAUGUUGUUGUUAUAGCAGUAAUAAAAAUAUCAUUAAUCAUGGGUACGUGUGCAUAGUGACCCGACCAGUCGUUAUAUAUAUUUGAGUCAUGUUCCCUCUUAUGAAGCUUUCCAUAUACGUAUUUGUGGUUAUGUAACUUGCGGGGAUGGUUGGUUGGAUUUUGCGGAGGUUUUGGAUUGAUUUGGAACACUUGGUUCUUGGUGUGGAAGCUUAGGUUGGAAGUACUAAUCGAGGUUUGACUUUUAUGAAAACGCUCCUAGAACGGUGUGUGGAUGGUUCCAAUAGGUUCGUAUGAUGGGUUUGGACUUAGGCGUAUACUCGGAAUUGAAUUCGUAGGUUGAAUUGGUUCUUUUUGCCGAAAGUUGACAAUUUAAAGGUUUAGAAUUUUUCAAAAUUUCACCAUGGGUUAACUUUGUGGAUAUCGGAUUCAGAUUUUUGUUAUGGAAAUUGGAAUAGGUCUGUUUUGUCAUUUGGAACUUGUAUGCAAAGUUUGGUGUCAUUUCAAGUUUGUUUGAUAGGAAUCAAACACUUGUUUUUUAUUUUAGAUGUUCUUGAGUUUCAUUGUGAAUUCUAUGUUUUUUCGUAUUCGAUUCAUGGUUCUGGAGGUUAUUUUGAUGUUUUAAGCUCACGAUCAAAUUUGUAUGAUAUUUCUAGACUUGUGUGAAUGUUCGGCGUGGAGCCCCAGGGGCUCAAGUAAGUUUCGGAUGCAUUUUGGAGUGUUUUGAUUAUUUUAGUAAUUGCUGGUUCUUGGCUUGUGCUACAAGUUAUGUAAAUUCGAGUACCAGUAUGCAUUAGCAGUGACCGCAUUUGCGAUGUAUUUAGUCGCAAUUGCGAAGGAGGCUGGGGUGGUGGGAUUUGCAUUUGUGAAGCCAGCCUCACACUUGCGUUGGGGAGCAGCGGCUGAAGUAGACCACAUUUGUGAUUUCCCUCUCGCAUCUAUAAUGCCUACUGGGUUCGCAUUUGCGGACAAUGAGUAGCGUUUGUGACUUCUGUGGGACUUGGCGUACUUCACUUGUGCAAGCCAAUAGUCUCAUUUGUGAUAGUUGCAUUUGUGAACCCAAGGUCACAAAUGCGACUUCGGUAGCUGGGCAUGUAUUUGAGAUUUUGGGACUUAGUCUCAUUUUAUCAUAUUUUGAGCCCUAGACUCGGUGUGAGACAAUUUUAGGAGGGGAUUUUCUCACAUAGCUAUUGGUUUUGACUCAAUUUUUAUAUUUUAACAUGAUUACUUAUGGAUUUUAACAUAAAUAUCAUGGGAUUUAAAGGGAAAUUUUGGAAAUUUUAGACUAUGUUUUGAAAAAUAAAAAUUUGAGAUUUGAGAGUCGAUUUGGACUCUGAUUUUAAAACCAAUUACAAAUAUUUGGACUCGUGGCUUUAUUAUUAGUUGAGAUCUACCCCUCGACUUGGAUUUUGACCGGGCAAGUACGGAGUUGACUUUUGUUGACCUUUUGGGAAUUUUGUAAAGAUCUUAACUUUAUUAAUUGAAACUGAUUUCUCUUGCAUUGUUUGAUAUUAUUAAGUUAUUUUUUGUUAGAUUUGAGCCGUGCGGAGGUAAAAUUUAAAGGAAAAACCUUUUAGAGUAUUGAUUGGGGUUAUUUGAGGUAAGUAUCUUACCUAACUCUUUGUGGGAGAAUUACCCCUUAGGAUUUGGUCUAAAAUGCCACAUUUGUGCUAUGUGAAACAAUAUGUACAUGAGGUGACAAGUGUGUACAUGGGCGUAUGUGUGAUUUUUGAUUGAAUUAGACCUUUGACUAUUAAUAUGCCUUGAAUUAGGGUUGUUUGCUAUAUGAACAUACUUUAUUAUUGAGUAUUUCCUGCACUAUUAUGCUAUUUUCAUGUUAUUUUAUCAUGUUGUGAGACGUGGGCUAUAUUGUCACAACCCAAACCGAUGGGCCGUGACGAGGACCCGAUGCCUUAAUCAACCGAGUACCAAUGUAACGUAUCUUUCUUACCAUAAUAUCAUGGGUAAAUGAGACGAAAAUGCCGUCAUGAGAUAAACACAAUAAAACUUAAGGGAAUACCCGAUAUAAGAUGACCCAACAUGAUAUAGAAACUUAUAAAUGUGACAUACGAGCCUAUAAGGCUGACAUGAUUCAAAACAUACCGACAAGACCAUACAACUAUCCAUAUACAUGACAUAUUUCUACAAGCCACAAAGAGUACAUAAACUUCAUAAAGGCCAGGACAGGGCCCCACCAAACCAAUAAAUACAUGUCCAAAGCAUACUGACCAAAUAGGCAACUCCGGAGUAAGUGGAGUGCACCAACACCUUUCGCUCAGCUGAUAGCCCACUAGGAGGACCGUUUAACCUAUCUAUCGGGACCUACGGGCAUGAAACACAGCGUCCCCAUGCAAAAGGGACGUCAAUAUGAAUAAAGUACCGAGUAUGUAAGGCAUGAAAUGCAGUAUAUAAAAGACAUGAAGGAAUCAUGGAGUAAAGGACUCAACCUAUAAGUCUGGAUGUGUUAUCCUAUUUUGCUCCUUGUCUACUUUUAUUCGUAUGUGUCAUCCUAUUUUGCUUCAUAUUUUGAUAUGUCUCGUGAUUCUUUGGAUACCCCUACUUAUGUUCCUAUACCCAUUGGGAUUUUAUUAUUGUGGACUGUGUCUACCGUUCCUGUUUGGACACUUGGGUGCUAUGAUACUAGAGUUCACCUUAUGUUACUAAAUAUGGUGGAUUUUGAUAUGAUUUUGGGUAUGGACUGAUUUUCACCAUAUCACGCUAUUCUUGAUUAUCACGCUAAGACGUUGGCUAUGCCGGGGUUGCCGAGGUUGGAUAGGAGAGGUUCAUUGGGUCAUGUUCUUAGUCGAGUGGUGUCUUUUAUGAAGUCUCAUCGGAUGGUUGAGAAGGGGUGUUUUGCAUAUUUAGCCUUUAAGAGGGAUGUUAGUGCUGAUACUCCUAAAUUUGAGUGUCAUUGCCGAUAGUGAGGGAAUUUCCAUAUGUGUUUCCAGCAAACUUGUCGGGCAUGCCACCCGACAUGGAUAUUGAUUUAAAUAUUGAUCUGGUAUCGGGCAAUCAACCCAUCUCUAUUCCACCAUAUCACAUGGCAGUAGUGGAGAAAAAUGAAUUGAAGGAACUACUUCAGGAGUUGCUUGAUAAGGGUUUCAUCAGACUGAGUGUCUCACCUUGGGGUGCUCCGGUUAUAUUUGUGAAGAAGAAAGACGGCUCUGUGAGGAUGUGUAUUGACUACAGGCAGUUGAACGAGCUUACUAUCAAAAACAAGUACCCACUAGAGCAUAUUGAUGAUGUAUUUGAUCAAAUUCAGGGUGCUAGAGUAUUCUCAAAGAUUGAUUUGAGAUCCGGGCAUCAUCAAUUGAAGAUCUGGGCUUCAGAUAUUCCGAAGACGGCUUUCAGGACCCGUUAUGGCCACUAUGAGUUUUUAAUGAUGUCAUUUGGGCUGACCAAUGCCCCAACAACUUUCAUGUAUUUGAUGAGCAACGUAUUUCACUUUUAUCUGGAUUCUUUCCUCAUUGUGCUUAUUGAUGAUAUAUUGGUGUAUUCUUGCAUCCAUUAGGAGCAUGGACAACACUUGAGGAGCUUGCUCUAGAUUUUUAGGGAGAAGAAUCUAUAUACUUAAUUAUCCAAGUGCGAGUUUGGGCUAGACACGGUUGCAUUCUUUGGCCACUUGGUUUUUAACGAGGGGAUUAAGGUGGAUCCGAAGAAGAUUGAGGUAGUUCAGAGCUGGACUAGACCUUCUACCGCCAUUGAGAUCCGGAGUUUUCUAAAUUUGGCUUGGUACUAUUACCGUUUCGUAGAGGGUUUCUUUUCCAUUGCAGUUCCUCUAACUAGAUUGUCUCAGAAGGGUGCCCGACUCAGGUAGUCUGACGAGUGUGAGGAGAGCAUUCAGAAGCUCAAGACUAGCUUGACUACAACUUCAGUUCUGGUUUUGCCUUCAGCAUCGGGUUCACAUACAUUCUAUUGUGAUGCUUUACGAGUUGGUAUUAGGUGUGUGUUGAUACAAGAGGGUUGAGUUAUUCCUUACACUUCACAUCUAUUGAAGCCCCAUGAGAAGAACUAACUGGUGCACGAUUUUGAGUUAGCAGCCAUUGUUCACGCGCUUAAGAUUUUGAGGCACUAUCUUUACGGCGUGUCUAGUGAGGUGUUCACGGAUCACAGGAGUCUUCAGGACUUAUUAAAACAAAAGGAUCUAAACUUGAGGCAACAGAGAUGGUUAGAGCUUCUAAAAGACUAUGAUAUCACCAUUCGUUAUCAUCCCGGGAAGGCCAAUGUGGUGUCCGAUGCUUUAAGUAAGAAGGCUGAGAACAUGGGGAGUCUUCUUUUUAUCCCAGUCGGGGAGAGACCAUUAGCUUUGGAUGUUCAAGCUUCGGUAACAAGUUUAUGAGGUUGGAUAUUUUGAAGCCUAGCAGGGUUCUUGCUUGCGUGGUUUCACUGUCGUCUUUGUUUGAGUACAUCAAGGCGUGUUUGUAUGAUGAUCCCCACUUGUUUGUCCUUAAAGACACGGUGUCACACGGUGAUGCCAAGGAGGUGGCUAUUUGUGAUGAUGGGGUAUUGAGGCUUCAGGGUCGGAUUUGUGUGCCCAAUGUAGAUUGGUUGCAUGAGCUGAUUCUUGAGGAGACCCAUAGUUCAUGGUAUUCCAUUCAUACGGACACCACGAAGAUGUACCAUGAUUUGAAUAAGCACUAUUGGUGGAGAAGAAUGAAGAAAUAUAUUGUGCAGUGGGUUGGUGUUUGAACUGUCAACAUGUUAAGCAUAAGCAUCAGAGACCCGAUGGUUUGCUUCAGAGGCUAGAUAUUCUGGAGUUCAAGUAGGAGCAUAUCACGAUGGAUUUUGUGGUUGGGCAACAACUGGACUUGAGGAGAUUUGACGUUGUGUGUGUCAUUGUGGAUAGACUGACCAAGUUUGCAUACUUUAUUCCAGUUAUGACUACCUACUCUUAUGAGCAGUUGGCUCAGAUUUAUCUUUGUGUGAUUGUUCGCCUUUAUGGCGUGCUAGUUUCUAUCAUCUUGGAUUGAGGCACGUAGUUCACAUUGCAUUUAUAGAGAGUCGUGUAGCGUGAGUUGGGCACACAUGUCAAAAUAAGUACAACAUUUCAUCCACAGACAGACGAAAAUCCUGAGCGUACUAUUCAAAUUUUGGAGGACAUGUUACGAGCCUGUGUCAUUGAUUUCGGGGGUCAGUGGAACCAAUUUCUACAGAUAGUAGAGUUCGCCUAAAACAAUAGCUAUCAACCGAGAAUUUAGAUGGCUCCAUAUGAGGCCUUAUAUGGAAGGCGAUGUAGUUCUCUGGUUUGUUGGUUUGAGCCUGUAGAGGCUAGGUUGUUGGGCACUAAUUUGGUUCGUGAUGCUUUGGAGAAGGUGAAAUAGAUUCAAGUGUAGCUUUGUAUAACGCAGUCCAGGAAGAAUUAUGCAGAUACGAGGGCUUGUGAUGUGGCAUUCAUGGCGUGUGAGAGGGUUCUACUCAAAAUUUCGCCCAUGAAUGUGUGAUGAGGUUCGGGAAGAAGGGCAAGUUGAGCCCUCAGUAUAUUUGUCCUUUUGAGAUUCUUGAGAGAGUGGGUGAGGUGGCCUACAGACUUGCUUUGCCACCCAGCUUAUCGAGAGUUCACCUAGUGUUCUAUUUUUUCAUGCUUCGAAAGUACUAUGAUGAUUUAUCACAUGUGUUAGAUUUCAUCUCAGUGCAAUUGGACAAGGAUUUGACCUAUGUUGAGGAGCCGGUGGUUAUCUUGGAUAGGCAGGUCCGGAAGUUAAGGUGGAAGAACAUUGCAUCGUUGAAGGUCCAUUAGAGAGGUCAACCGGUCGAGGAGGUGACUUGAGAGACCAAGCAUGAUAUGCAGAGCCGAUGUGCUCACUCUUUUGGCACUUUAGGUAUGUCUCUAUACUCGUUCGAGAACUAACCUAUGUUUAAGAGAGGAGAAUAUAACGACCCCGCCGGUCGUUUUAUUUUUUUGAGCCUUGUUUCCACUUUUGAAGCUUCACAUCUGUAUAUUUGUGCUUGUGUGACUUGGGGGGAUGGUUGGUUGGGUUUCGAGAAGGUUUUGGGUUGAUUUGGAACACUUGAUUCCUAGCUUGGAGGCUUAGGUUGGAAGUGUUGACCGAGGUUCGAAGUUUGUGAAAACGACCUCACAACGGUGUUUUUAUGGUUUUAAUAGGUACGUAUAGUGAUUUUGGACUUAGGCGUAUGCUCGGAAAUGAAUUCAGAGGUUCCUAGGUUGAAUUGGCUCUCUUUGCCGAAAGUUGGCAAUUUGAAGGUUUAGAAAUUUCCUUAGUUUUACCAUGGGUUGACUUUGUGGUUAUGGGUUCAAAUUUUUAUUUCGGGACUUGGACUAGGUCUGUUUUGUCAUUUGGAACUUAUGUGCAAUGUUUGGUGUCAUUUCGAGUUUGUUUGAUAGGAUGGACACUUGGUUGUGGUUUUAGAAGUUCUUGAGUUUCAUUGUGAAUUCUACGCGUUUUGGUGUUUGAUUCAUGGUUCCGGAGGUUAUAUUGAUAUUUUGAGCUCGCAAUCAAGUUCGUAUGAUGUUUCUAAGAGUCUAUGGAUGUUUUGUAUGGAUCCCAGGAGGUUCGGGUGAGUUUCAGAUGUGUUUCGGACUGUUUUAGUGAUUGCUGGUUCUUGGCUUGUACUGCAUGUCUCUCAAAUGCGAGCACCCGUUCACAUUUUCGGUGACCGCAUUUAUGAUGGAUUUAGUCGCUAUUGCUAAGCCAUUCUCGCAAUUGCUAUGAGGAGCUGGGGCUGAAGGAGGCAACUUUUGCGAUCAUCUUCACGCAUUUGCGACGCAUACUGGCUUUGCAUUUGCGGACAAUGAGUUGCAAAUGCAACUUCUGCUGUUCAGCAUAUAUUUGAGAUUUCGGGACUUAGUCUCAUUGUAUCAUAUUUUGAGCCCUAAAUUCUGUGGGAGAAUUUAGGAGGGGAUUUUCAUACAUAGUUAUUAGGUAAGUGAUUUUGACUCAAUUUUCAUAUUUUAAAAUGAUUACAUAUGAAUUUUAACAUCAAUAUCAUGGGAUUUGACGAGAAAUUUUGGGGAUUUUUUACUAUAUUUUGAAAAAUAAAAAUUUGACAUUUGUGAGUCGAUCUGGACUUGGAUUUGGAAACCAAUCAUAUAUUUGGACUCGCAGGAUUAUGGAUAGCCUAGAUCUUCCCCUCAACUCGGGUAUUGACCAGGCGAGCCCAGGGUUGACUUUUGUUGACUUUUUGAGAAUUUUGUAAAGAUCUUAACUUUAUUAAUCGAAUUUGAUUUUUCUUGUAUUGUUUGAUAUUAUUAAGUCAUUUUUGGCUAGAUUUGAGCCAUGCAGAGGUGAGUUUUAGAGGAAAUGCCUUUUAGAGUAUUUAUUGGGGCUAUUUGAGGUAAGUGUCUUGCCUAACUUUGUGUGGAAAAAUUACCCCUUAGGACAUGGUCUAAAAUGCAAUAUUGUUUCUAUAUGAAAGGACAUGUACAUGAGGUGAUGAGUGUGUACACGGGUGUAUGUGUUGUUUUUGAUCGGAUUAGACCUUAGGCUAUUAAUAUGCCUUGAAUUGGGAUUGUUUUAUAUAUGAGCAUGCUUUAUUGUUGAAUAUUCCCUGCACUCUUAUGCUAUUGUCAUGUUAUUGUAUCUUGUUUUGAACCAUGGCCUAUAUCUUGAUGUGACUUUGAGAUAUUGUUGCUUUUGUGAUAUUGUGGCACGUGUGUUGUGCGGGUUAAUUGUUGUUGUCUGGAGUAUAAGGGUGGCGAGAUGCGCAUGUUGCAAUAUAAGGGUGGUGUUUAUUGAUGCACAUGCAGCGAGAUAAGGGUGGUUUAUACGCGUGUAGCAAUAUAAGGGGAAAUAUAUCAUUGUGAUGCACACGCGGAGACGUAAGGAUGGCUUGUUGAUGAUGUUAUGUGAUAUUUCAGGGUGCUCCAUUGUGAUUGUUCGUGUGUUGGAAUGUGGAUUUAUGUUUUGGUCCCAUGCUAAUUCUCUUAAAAGUUUCUACUGUGUACUUUCGUGAGGUAUUGGUUGACUUGAUUUACUAUCACAUUUCCCACUCAUGUUUGAUAAUUUGUUGGUACAGAGGGGUUAUUCUGCUUGAAAGUGAUGUCACUUGAUCUUUGAGGUUGUUGAUAUCAAUUUCGUUAUGCUUUUUGUUGUCAAUUUUCUUUAAUGUCUUGCACAGGUUAAUUAACUAGUGAGUGUCUUGACUUGAACCUCGUCACUACUCUAGCAAGUUUAGUCUUGAUACUUACUGGGUACCGACUGUGGUGUACUCAAACUACGCUUCUACACAUUCUUCGUACUGAUCCUGGUACCUCGGAUCGUGGUGGUUAUUAGGGAGUUGAGCCCGAGCUGUUGGAGACUUAAGGGUAUACUUGGUACUCCGCCCGCAAGCCUUGGAGUCACCCUCUUUUAUUUAUUUUCUAAUGUUUAUGUCUUCCAAAUAGUGAUGUACAUUUAUUUCCUCCACGGUGCGGUCAAUGCGGUAGAGCCCAUUCCGAACGAUGUCGUCAGGGAUUUAAUACAUGCUAUACCUGUGGAAACCGCAGUCAUUAUAUGAGAGAUUGUCCGGUAAAGGACAAAGGUUGGAUGGCUCAGCCCACCGGGUCUGUAGCAGCCUCCUCCUUUUCAGCACGUCCCCUAGAGUGAGGCCCUCAAACAUCAACUGAAAGAGGUAGAGGCAGAGGUGGAGCAUCUAGCUCCGGUGAUAGUAAUAACUGCAUAUACGCUUUGAUUAGGCAUCAAGAUCAGGAGCAGCCAAGCAAUGUUGAUACAGGUAUAUUUACUAGUUGUGUGUGACCAAGAGUUUAUAUUGCUUGUUAAGGCUCAUUUUUAGGCAUCUGUAUUGCAUUUUCUGGCUACGUACAAGUUGGGUUUUAGUUGAGUUUAUAGAGGAGACUCUGGUAAACAUUUUGUAAGUCUCUAAAAGUUAACAUUCGAGGACGGAUGUUUCUAAAGAGGGGAAAGAUGUUACAUCCCAUACUUUUGUAUGUUGGAUUUGUCAUAAGUUAAUUGACAUAAGUUCAAGGAUAAGAUUAUUUUUGAGAUUUUAAGUGGUUAUCCUAAAUUUAGAAAAUGUUGAGGAAGUGUCGUUACUAUUAUCAAUGCUACUUUCAUCUUUUCUUUAGAUGAGGGUCUAUCGGAAGCAACCUCUCUGCCCGUCCAGGGUAGGCGUAAGGCUGCGUAUAUCUCACCCUCCUCAGACCCCACUUAUGGGAAUAUACUAGCUCGUUAUUAUUGUUGCUGUUGAAAAAGUGUCGUAACGAUUAGAGGUCAACAAAUUGAAGAGAAUAAGUUUCGUCAAUGUAAUACCCCGUGCUAUUAGACUAUGGCUUGAGCCGCUUGACAUAUGCAAGUAGACCUGAGCCACGAAGAAUUUUGUUUAUAUACAAGUAUGAAAAUAAAGAGAAUAGUGUAGAAUAAGAUGAAGUCCCAAAAUGAUGUAGGACGUUAGAAUGAGACGAUGGGGGUUGGGAAUAAUAUUUGGUAUGUAUAAGGAGGCUAUGGAUUAGAAUUAUACCACAUGAUAAUGAUAAUGAGUUUAUGAAAAGUGUAUAAAAUAAUUAUUAUUUAAGUGAAUAAAGAUCAAGAAAUUAAUUAUGCAGUUAAUUAGUUAAAUACAAGGAUUUAAUUAGGGAUUAGUUGAAGACAAAUGUCCAAUAUAGGGGACAAUUAUGGAGUCCAUAUGGGACAACUCAAAUCUCCACCUUAUGACUCAUGUUUCAUUGGAUAGGUAUGUCUUGGUGGCUACUCCAUGGCCAAGCUUCUUUUUCUUAUUAAACGAAUAUUACAUGGUCCCCACAACCCACAAAGUAUUAGAAAAUUUCGAAGUUACAUUUCAGAAUAUGUAUAUAUUAUUAACAAUCAUAACCACCUAGCCUAGAAGCACAAGAAACGUGAGAGAUUGAGAGGCAACUUUGGGAUUUUAUUUUUAAAAUUUUUUUAACUUUUGAUGGGGCAAAACGUGGGCAGCAAAAUCAUGAUAGAGAAUCUAUCCCUCCAUCUCUCAUAGAUUAGGUUGUCGUAGUUGCUUGUGGCAUGAGUGUUUGGAGCAUAAUUGGCAGGUCCUAGUUAAGUAAGGUAAGAUUUCAUCUCUCCUACAUAUUUUUGAGGUUGUUUGGUCUUUAUAAAACUUGUUAUUAUUGUUAUAUGGAGGUAGUUUUAUUGUAUAUGGAUAGUAGAUGAUGUUGUUGUUGUGUUAUUGUUGAUAUGCUUAUUGAAGUUGGAAUACGGAAGUGUAUAAGGUAUCGUAUACGAAGCAUAUAUUGGGUUGUCUUGGUGUAUAUUCUUAGGUGUUAAUGAUUUGAACCCAAAGGGAUUAAAAGAGGCUGUAGUUAUGGUUGUUAAAGAAUAAGGGAAAUGUUGUCAGUUCCAUAUUCGAACCAAAUUAUCGUUUGAUAUAAGUGAUAUACGAGUGUCAUCUAAGUUCGCAUAUGCAUCCAUUUGUUAUAGGAUUGGCGAACUAGUUACGACGCGUUUGUUGUUGGAUUGUGUUGACGACCUGAGGUAUGCUAAGGCUAAUCCUUCCUUCUUUUUGUAUGAUCCAAGUAACGAAACGUAAAUAUAAUAUUACUCAAUAAAUAGUUCUACUCUUAGUAGUUAAGGAUUCCUACAUUUUUCAUUCCUAUAAAAUGUAAUUCAAACUAUGUCUAAGUAUGUUCUAAGUUCCUAUUGAGGCAUACAAUAAAGAUGUUAAUGUUCAUAAUGUAAUGUUACAUGCAUCUUCAUUUACCACCGAGAUACGGUUGGUCGGGUAGUCAUACAUUUACCAUCGAGCUAUGGCUGGUUGGGUAGUUACGCAUUUACCACUGAGUUAUGGCCAGUCGGGCAGUCAUGCAUUUAGCGCCGGGCUACGGCCGGCCGAGCUGUACUACUAAUCAGUUGGGCAGUUAACAUCACGAUAAUUAUGUAGUCAUGACUAUGGUUUUAUAUAUAUAUAUAUAUAUAUAUAUAUAUAUAUAUAUAUAUAUAUAUAUAUAUANNNNNNNNNNNNNNNNNNNNNNNNNGUCAGAGGUUACAGGUUGACUCUUAUCGAGUCAGUGAUAGUAUCUUAUCGUUAUGAUUCAUUUCUUCCUUACAUACUUGGUACAUUCUUCUUACUAACGUCCCUUCACGGGGGGACAUUGUGUUUCAUGCCUCACAAGUGUAGAUAGACGAGGCGAAGAUCCUCCAAGAUAGGUUGCCUCUACUUUCUGGAGUAUUGCCGAGUAAGGGCUCUGUAUAUGUUAUUUUGGUUUAUGGGAAUGUCGGGGGCUUUGUCCCGACUUAUAUACUAUGUUCAUAUUACCAUAGAGGCUUUGCAGACAAUAUCUUGUCUAUAGUUUUUGUUAUGAUAUGUUAGUCUAUCAUGACGGCCUUGCCGGUCCCCAUGUAUCUAUGUAAAUUCUUUAUGAGUUGGUUAUGCGAGUUAAUCGUAGAUAGUGCAGUAGAUCAUAGUCGUAGGGAAUGAACUAAUUGACCUUUGACAUAUUUUAUAUACAACGAUGCAUGUGACCAGGUCAGAAGGGUAAAGCAGUGGCUGAUGAGGGCAUGAGUAGAGCACCAGUGGCUAGUGAGGGCCAGAGUGAGGCUCCGAGGGGAAGUGUGACACCCUUGCAUAAUUCUCCGACUCCUCCAGCACCCGAGAAGCCGAGGAGUAACCUAGUACCUCCAGUUCCUCGACCUGUAACUCAUGAUUUGGAUAUGGAUAUGCGGAAUGCAAUAUAGUUGUUGACAUUGGUAGCCGCUCAGGCUCAGUGUCAGGCAGGUAUAAGUGUUGAUUAUGUUGACAGGGCUAUUAGCACAAGAGUUCGAGACUUCAUCAACCUGAACCCUCCAGUGUUUACCAGAUCCGACAAGGAUGAGAACCCACAGAACUUUAUAGAUAGGAUGUAUAGGACUUUGAGGGUGAUGCAUGUUUCAGACACUGAGUUAGUAGAGUUGAGCCUUUAUCGAUUGCACGAUGUUGCAGUUCUGUGGUAUGAGACUUAGUAAUUGUCCAGAGGGACAAAUUCACCUCCAACAGUAUGGGAAGAGUUCUCAGGGGCUUUCUUGCGUCAUUACUUGCCAACAGAGAUCCGUCAGGCGAGGGUAGAUCGGUUCAUGGCUCUUAGACAGGGGAAUAUGAUUGUGCAUUAGUAUAGUCUCCAGUUUGAUUCCUUGUCUAGGUAUGCUUCCUCGAUUGUGGCUGAGAUGAGUGACCGAGUACAUCAUUUAGUGGUAGGGCUUAUGCCGCACCUGAUUAAUGAGUGUUCCACGUCCACUAUGCUCGAUAAUAUGGAAAUUUCCCGCAUCCAAGCUUAUGCUCAAAAUUUGGAGGAUCGAAAAUGGUAGAAACACGAGGAUCGUGAUGAGGGUCAGUGCAAGAGAGCUAGGUCUACUAGCCAACUUGAGGAUUCUCCGGGUGGUCCUAGGCCACCAUAUUCUGUAGAUAGUGCCCCUUCACAGUUGCAGAGGCCGCGUUAUGAGGGAUAUAUUUAUUCUGAAUAAGGUCAGGGUUCGAGGGCUUUGGGUUACCUGAAUCAUAGGGAUUCAGCACAGAUAAGGGUACCUCCUCCACUGUGUAGUCAAUGCGGUAGAGCCCAUUCCGAACGAUGUCAUCAGGGAUUUAAUACAUGCUAUACCUGUGGAAACCGCAGUCAUUAUAUGAGAGAUUGUCCGGUAAAGGACAAAGGUUGGAUGGCUCAGCCCACCGGGUCUGUAGCAGCCUCCUCCUUUUCAGCACGUCCCCUAGAGUGAGGCCCUCAAACAUCAACUGAAAGAGGUAGAGGCAGAGGUGGAGAAUCCUGCUCCAGCAAUAGUCAUAAUCGCAUAUAUGCUUUGAUUAGGCAUCAAGAUCAGGAGCAACCAAGCGAUGUUGAUACGGGUAUAUUUACUAAAUGUGUGUGACCAAGAGUUAUUGUUGCUUGUUAUGGCUCAUUGAGGCGUUUAUAUUGCGUUUUCUAGCAGUAUACAUGUUGAAUUUUAGUUUAAUUUAUAGAGAAGACUCUGGUACUUUUGUACGUUAGAUUUGUUGUAAGUUAAUAGACAUAAGUUCAAGGACAAGAUUAUUUUUGAGAUUUUAAGUGCUUAUGCUGAGUUUAGAAAAUGUUGAGGAAGUGUCGUAAGGAUUAUAGGUCAACAAAUCAAAGAGAAUAAGUUUCAUCAAUGUAAUACCCCAUGCUUUCAGACUAUGUCUUAAGCCCCUUAACAUAUGCAAGUAGACCUGAGCUACGAAGAAUUUUGUUCAUAUUCAAGUAUGCAAAUAAAGAGCACGAUAUAUAAUAAGAUGAAGUCCCAAAAUGAUGUAGGAUAUAAGAGUGUGACGAUUGUGGCUUGGAAUAAUAUUUGGUAUGUAUAAGGAGGCUAUGGACUAGAAUUAUACCACACGAUAGUGAUAAUGAAUUUAUGAAGUAUGUAUAAAAUGAUUAUUAUUUAAGUGAAUUAAGAUCAAGAAAUUAAUUAUGCGGGUUAUUAGUUAAAUGCAAGGAUGUAAUUACGAGAUUAGUGGAAGAAAAAUGUCAAAGAUAGGGGGCAAUUAUGGAGUCCAUGUGGUACUACUCAAAUCUCCACCUUAUGACUCAUGUUUCAUUGGAUAGGUAUGUCUUAGUGGUUGCUCCAUGGCCAUGCUUCUUUUUCUUAUUAAAUGAAUAUUAUGUGGGCCCCACAACCGACUUAGUAUUACGAAAUUUCAAAGUUCUAUUUCAGAAUAUGUAUAUUAUUAACAAGCAUAACAACCUAGCCUAGAAGCACAAAAACAUGAGAGAUUGAGAGGAAACUUUGGGAUUUUAUUUUUCAAAUUUUUUGUAUCUAUUGAUGGGGCAAAACGUGGGAAGAAAAAUCAUAAUAGAGAAUUUAUUCCUCAAUCUCUCAUUGAUUAGGUUGUUGUAGUUACUUGCGGCAUGAUUCUUUUGAGCAUAACUAGUAGGUCCUAGUUUAGUAAGGUAAGAUUUCAUCUCUCCUACAUAUUCUUGAGGUACUUUGGUCUUUAUAUAACUUGUUAUUGUUGUUAUACGGAGGUAGUUUCAUUGUAUAUGGAUAGUAGAUAUUGUUAUUGUUGAUAUGCUUCUUGAAGUUGGAAGAAGGAGAAAUAUAAGGUACCGUAUACGAAGCAUAUGUUGGGCUAUCUUGGUGCAUAUUCUUAGGUGUUGAUGAUGUGAAUCCUAAGGUAUUAAAAGAGGUUGUAGUUGUGGUUGUUAAAGAAUAAGGGAAAUGUCGUCCGUUCCACUUCCGAUCCGAAUUAUCGUUUGAUAUAAGUGAUAUACUAGCAUCAUGUAAGUCCCCAUAUGCAUUCCUUUAUUGUAGGAUUGGUGUACUAGUUACGACGAGUUCGUUGUUGGAUUGUGUUGACGACUUGAGGUAUGUUAAGGCUAAUCCUUCUCUCUUUUGGCACGAUCCAAGUAACAAAACCUAAAUAUAAUGUUAUUCUAUAAAUUGUUCUACUCUUAGCAGUUAAGGAUGCGUUCAUUUUCGCGCCCCGUUUUCUCGCGAAAGCAGGUUUCGAUGUGUGACAACUCUUUUAAAGGGAGGUAUUAAAAGAGAAGAGUCGCCACCUAAUAAUUUUUAAGGUGUGUUAGGGCACCUAUUUGCAAGUAACUCUGUUUGACUAGUCCAUAUCACCAAAGAUCGGGUAAGGGCUCAAGUUACUUCGAAGGAAAAGUGUUAGGCAUUCUUUGAAGUCCACAACUGUGGAUCCCUACCGAACUUUGAACUAUGUGGAAUAUGUCAUUAGGCUAGGCGAUCAAAAUAGACAAAGGGAAAUUUAGGAGUCGAAGAGUCUUGCUAUAAUACAUGUGAAUCGGUACGAAUCUUAAUGAUUACAAGGAUAUAACUACAUCGGUCUAUAUUAAAUGACUAAGUGUAAAUAGUUAGUAUAUAAAGAAAGGGGGGGGGAUCCUAAGCUUUUUAUCCUAAAGGAUCACCCCGUGCAACAUAAAUAAUACUUCGCAACUUCCUUAAGGUAGGGGUUGCUCAUAUUAUUCAGCGAGCACAAACUAUCAUCUCCUACUACCCAAUUACUAUGUUGAAAUUGUUACCUAAAGGCGUUCUAAUUCAAUUAUAGGCCGUACCCUAUGCGUGCACUAAAUGUCACAUACCUGUGGUCCAGGAGGCUUUGGACCUCUAUUUAGGUGGUUCUAGACUCUACUUAGGAUGCUCUAAAAUGAUAAAACUUACGCGCAUUCAAAACAUAUAGGACUACACAUAAAUGCAAGAAAAGGCUCAAGUUAACCUCCACACAUAAACAGCAAAUUGCACGCAUGAAGAUUUAGCAAUAGGCAAUUUUUAGAAUUAAGAUGCAUUAACGUCGUUAAGUCCUAUAUGCAUGAUCUCUAUAUGAUUUUAGUAUUAUACAGGCAGUGCUGCGGUUUCUGGACUAACGAAUUUGCAGAUGUUAUAAACCUAUAUACAUGAUCUCUAAACUAUUUACGCAAUGAGGUAGUAAAACUGUUUGAAGGCUUAGAGUUAACGAUGUUCGAUUUAUAGACAUGCUUUCUAGAUGAUGAAUAAUGUCCUAUAGACAGGAUUGACAAUUGAUCUUGAUUUUUAUAAUACUUUAUCCCUAUAGGCAUAUCAUCUGGGCGGGGCAGUGCAAUGAAAAUGACAGAAGUAUUAAUCAAGUAGUUAAGACCCUAUAGUCAUGAUAUCUCGAUGAGUGUUACAAAGGUAUGUAUUAUUACAUCCUAUAGGCAUGUUGUCUGAUAGUGCACAACAAUAGGCAUGGAAACAGGUACAACACUUACUAAAACCAACAUGCUUUGAAUAGUGUACAGGUAUUAGACAAGUUGAGUGAAGUAUGUGAUUUCAUACAGGCAUGGUUUCUAUGUGUGUACAGAUAUAAAACAUGCCAAACAAAAGUUGCAAAUAGGUAGAUCUUAUAGGCAUGAUCUCUACUCGUUUAUGCGAGAAUUAGAAUACCCCAACCCCUUUUCACUAAUCUCCCCAUUGUUUGUUUACAAAUUAUUACAGGCCCAAAGAUAAAAGAAGAAACAAAUUCAAAUAUUACAGAAUCGAGAUGACUACAGGCUCUAAAAAUAGAGCAGACCCAAGAAGAGGUAACCCAGUAUUGCCUGGGCCUUCAAUAGGCUCGUUCCUCACAUAAGUAGAAGACCUAGACCCAAACUCAGCUCAAACACUGGAAUGUAUGUCCAUUUGCACAACCACAAGCCACUCAUGGACUCAUAUCAAGCCCAACAUUUACAAUAUUGAUCACUUAACCAAAUAAGUAAAUGGACCACACACAAAAAUCAACUAAACAGCCCCAAGGCAAUAACUCAUAGAGACAGGAUUGUGUGACACAUUACAAGAUUCAUACACGCAUUGGCAUUUCAGAAGCGAGAGUGACAGGAUUGAUUAGGCAAAGAACAAGAAACUAGGAGAACCCACAUACUUGAUUUCGAACAUGGUAAAUGUAAUAUAGAUUAAACAAUUAAGCGAGUAACAACAUGCUAAAGAUAAACAUAAUACUAGGGGAGUUAAGGGGACAUGCCAUUUGGGAUUAAUGAGGGAAACAUACUAGACACAUACAAGAUGAAUAUGCUAUGUUUUUUCAGAAUGAGCUCAGCAUAAAGCAUGAUCCAUAGUUAAAAAAAGGUAUUUUGAACCUAGGAGUCUAAGUCUUGAAGGUCGAUAGGAGUUAGAGUCAGAAAAUGACAAUUACACAUAACAAACAAGCAGGCAAACAGUCAAUAGGGAGCCUAAUCAUGCUGAGUGCAACACAAAGAUCCCCAAGUUCAAAGGUAUCAUGAUAUUAAUUCCAGAUUAACAUGUCAAACAGGCAUUAGGACUAUCUCAGUUGACUAUAUAGGAAGAGUAGGUUGAAUGUUUUGAGAUUCUUCCUAGCAGUUUUUAAACAAUCCGCGAGUACAUAGUGAUAGCAACAUUUAGAGUUUACAAACAGCAAGAGACCCAGUUGGGAUAGUAUUAGCAUAUAAAUUCCUCAUGAAUUGACUCUAAGCAAAUAGUAGAUUGUACAUGAAGGACUAGGCAGAAAGCAGUUCAUUUGGACAAAUUCCAGACAUGAAUUAGUUCCUCAUAAGAGUCUACGGCAUAGACUCAUAACCAGAUGGGAAUACGUAACCAGCUAUACAUGAACAUAAUGAUUAGAAAUCAUUCAGGUUGGACACACAUAAUGGGCAUGCAUUAAGGCUAGCAUAUUAGGCUAAGCAUUUAGACAGUAUUAUCAUAUAACUUGCAGAGAAAUAACACAUUAUGCAUAAAGGAUUAAACAUGAAGAGAGCAAUUUUGAGCAAGAGCAUAGUUUCCUAAGGGUUUUAGUACAAGGUUCUACAACCAUCAAUUAGGUUUGAAUUACGAAUCAGGCAAGCAUCAUGAAUCAACUUAGCUAUCAUUAAAAUCAAAACAUGCAUAGAAUUGAAUCUAAUGGAACUACAAAAUAGUAUCAAAAUAAGCAGAAUUGCAUACGAAGUGGAAUAAUAUCAAAAUUAACUCAGGAAAAUUCAAGUAGUACUAAUGCACAUAACAUGAACACGAACAUAAACAAGUAGAAUUGCGAGAGUAUAGGGCACUAACCAGUUGCAAAUAAAGCGAAUAAAGAAUGAGAAACUCAAAAUCUCAGGAAUAACAAUAAUUGCAAGAGAGUAAUGAAAACCCCAAAAUCUCCAGCACUUCAGAGUUCACAAGAGCCUCGAAGUGGGCUCCGAGCAGUGCCUGCACUGGAGGAGGCUAAUGAACGGAUUUCGGUGGCCUUGCCUUUCAGCCGGCCAAAAUCAAAAGUCUCAGAAUAGUAUAGAAUCAGUGGGAGUGAGAGAAUAGUAGUGGUAACAAUAGUUAAGUCAAUCGUUCAAUUUUUCCAAGGGGAACAGAAAGUAGGGUUUAUAUAGUGGUAGAAAUCGAACAAGCAAACAUGAAAAAAAAUUAAUGAAUCACAAAUAAGGAAAGAAUAUCACAUGCAAUCAAUAAUAAAAUUGUAAAGAAGAAAACAUUGAAAUUUCAAACCCUAGUUCGACGGAAAGCAAAGAUUGGCCAAAGAUCUUGGUUAAUCGGAUCCUCAUAGCCUUACUAUGAACACAUAAAGAUAAAAUAUCAUCUAAAUCUAGGAGAGUGAAGCCAGUUUCCUUUGAUUUAGAGACUUGUACUUACCAAAAAAUGGGCAAGUACUAAGUAACACCAUAUUUACAAAGGUAAUAGUGAUAUAAUCCAGGAAAGGUAAGUAAAUCAUGGUAAGAAUCCGUGGAUGAGUUGGACUCAGAGAAGAAUUGGGGUAGCGGUUAGGGUUUGUGAGGUAAGGGGAGGUUUUGAGGAUAUAUAGAGGUGGCUGAUCGAGUAAAACGAGGCUAGGGUUUGGGGUGAAGUUAAUUAGAAGAGGGGAGAUGGAAUGUGGGUCGUUGAUCUCCUAAGAUCAACGGCCAAGAUUUUAAUGAGAGGCGGAUCGGGUUAGUGGAUGGGUGUGGGGUAGUGGAUUGCUGGUAUUGGGCUAGGGGUUAUUGGGCUGGAGUUUAGGGUGUGGUCUGGUGAAUUAGGUCCGAAAUAUGGCCUGUUUUGGGCAAGAUUUUAAAUACAAGAAAUUAAAGAGAAGAUAAUUGAAUGAAAUAGCUAAAUAAUAUAAAAGUAGUAUUUAUACAACUUAAUAUUUUUAAAAAUAAUAGCUGAAAAUUAUAACAAUAUAAAAAAUUAUUUUGACCCUGAAUAAAAUGACAAAUGAAAUUAAUUGUAAAAAUAUAGGUUAUUAUGCAAAUGUGAUUAUGGAAUGAACUAAAAUGUUAUAAAACAUAUGUGUGGGUGUAAUAAUUAAUUUGGAUUAUUAAUUCUUCACAAAAUAAAUUUUGAAGGAUAAUUAAUAAAUAUUUGAACAAUUUAAAUGCAAGAAAAAUAAUUUUAAAGCCUCAAAAAAUUGUGAAAAAUUACAGAAAAUACUUAUAUGACCCCUAUAAAUUGGUGAUGAUGUAGGAAUGAUAUUUUAGAAGCAUAUAUGACUUUUAUAAAAAUAUGAGGGCAAAUUUGGGUGUCAACAUCUACCCAUCUUUACCCGAGAAUGAUGAAAGAGUUGUUGGGUAAGAAAAUGAUGACCAAUUUUGUCCGAAGUGAGUAAGGAAUGAUGUGUUUUGAAACAAUGGUGGUCGAACCCUGGUUCAUGAGUUGCCUACGUAUCCUUGGUGUUACAGGAAUCAGGCCGUGUGUAGUUCUGGAUCCGACGGCGAAUGAAACCGAUGGAGUUUUUAUAAGAGUGGUCGUGUGUUUCUAAAGGGACCCUUUGGAUAUGAUAGUGUCGUGAGUAACAAAUGAUUUCAGGUGGAGCUAUGAGAUUAUUACGGAUGUACAAGGCAGAUAUUUGAAUAUUUAUAGAACAAAGGGUAAUCAAUUGCUGAUCAUCGAUUACGUUUGAGAUAGUCGAAGGAUGUGGAUGUUGUGAACGGAAAUCGGAGCGAGAAUUGCUCCUGUUUGUAGAACGGUUACCUCCUGAGUUACCUGUAAAACUUAAAACACGAUGCAUGCAAAUAUAUAUGGGUUAUUGUAAAAAUUUAAACAUGAUGCAAAUUCCCUUCGGACCAUGAGAGUUGUCUUUGGAUGACGAGGAUGAUGUCCUUAGACUAUGACGUCCUGGGCCAUGAAGCGUUUGAUAAGGGAUUCGCCGGCUAUGAAAUGAUGUCCUCGGUCCAUAAGGAUGGUGCCUUUGGACUAUGACGCCUUUGAAUAAUGAUGUGCAAUUUUGAGAGAUCCUCAGGCCAUUGCAUGAUGUCUUCGGGCUACGAGGAUGGUGGCUUUGGACUAUUAUGCCUUCGAACAAUGUGGUGGUGUUUCAGCCUAUGAAAUGCAAGUAUGUGGUAAUAUCGAUCGCUUGAUAAAGGAAAUAGAUGAUUCCUAGACAUUCACUAAAAAGAGACAAGACAAGGCUUAGUCUUAUAUGAGAUGAGGGCAACGCUUAGCCCGUUGUAAAGAAAGGAGAUAAUGCUUAAUCUUAUGCCGUGUAACAUAGACAGAGUUUAGUCUCAUGCAAGGGAAGGCGAUGCCUAUCCUAAUGCCAUAAUGGAGGCAGUGCUUUGCCUCGUGAGAGAAAGAGAGACAGUGCUUAGUCUCAUGUGAGCAAGGAAGUGUUUACCCUUAUGCAAUAAUGGAGACAGUGCUUAGUCUCAUGCGCGAAAAGGCAAUGCUUAACCUUAUGCAAUAAUGGAGGCAAUACUUAGCCUCAUGCAAUAAUGAAGAUAAUGCUCAGUCUCAUGCAAGCAAGGCAAUGCUUAGCCUUAUGCAAUAAUAGAGAUAAUGCUUAGUCUCAUGCAAACAAUUGAGAUAAACAAUUGAGAUAAUGUUUAGUCUCAUGCAAAGAAAGGUAGUGCUUAGCCUUAUGCAAUAAUGGAGAUAAUGCUUAGUCUCAUGCAAGGAAUGGAGACAGAUCAUAGUCUCAUGAAAAUAAAGGCAAUGCUUAGCAUUAUGCAAUAAUGGAGAUAAUGCUUAGUUUCAUGCAAAGAAUGGAGACAUAGUUUAGUCUAAUGCAAAGAAUGGCAGUGCUUAGCCUUAUGCAAUAAUGGAGAUAGUGAUUAGUCUCAUGCAGAGAAUGGAGACAAUGUUUAGUCUCAUGCAAGGGAGGGCAAUGCUUAGCCUUAUGCAAUAAUUGAGAUAGUGCUUAUUCUCAUGCAAAGAAUGGAGACAGUGUUUAGUCUCAUGCAAAAAAAGGCAGUGCUUAGCCUUAUGCAAUAAUGGAGACAAUGCUUAGUCUCAUGUAAAGAAUGGAGACAGUGUUUAGUCUCAUGCAAUGAAAUGCAGUGCUUAGCCUUAUGCAAUAAUGGAGGAAGUGCUUAGUCUCAUGCAUAGAAUGGAGACAGUGUUUAGUCUCAUACAAGGGAAGGCAAUGCUUAGCCUUAUGCAAUAAUGGAGACAGUGCUUAGUCUCAUGUAAAGAAUGAAGACAGUGUUUAGUCUCAUGCAAGGGAAGGCAAUUCUUAGCCUUAUGCAAUAAUGGAUAUAGUGCCUAGUCUCAUGUAAAGAAUGGAGACAAUGCUUAGUCUCAUGCAAGGAAAGGCAAUGUUUAGCCUUAUGCAAUAAUGGAGACAAUGUUUAGUCCCAUGCAAGGAAUGGAGACAAUGCUUAGUCUCAUGCAAGAAAGGCAGUAUUUAGCCUUAUACGGUGAUGGGGGCAGUGCUUAGCCCUAUGCAGGAAGAAUAAUGAUUGAAUGCGAAAAGGCAAAGUAUUUCUUAGCUUGAUGCAUUUGCGUUUGGCGACUUUUGUCGGUGUGAAGAUAGCAAUCUUGUUGUGUAUAUAUAUUUUGUGGACGUUCUUGUUAUAUCCAUUGUGCCUGUAUCCAAAGGAAAAUUAUGAGUUUGGAGGGGAAAGGUUAGUUCGUGCUCUCGAUUCAUUGCUUUGCGUUUGUUCCUAUCUUGAGGUCUCGUUUGAGUUUUCCCUGGUAACGUCUAGCUACUAUAGAAUGAAAUUUUUGAAAACAUGCAUUUGUGAUAAAUUGUUUAUACAUAAGAAAUGUAGUUGUUUGAAAUAUAUGAUGAUUCAUGAGAGCAAAUAAUUUGUUGAAUCGAUGACUGUGACAUGCCUUUGAGACAUCGCAACCACUUUGACUCGGAAUUUUGAGGAUCCUCCUAAACAUUCUGCCACGGUUUAAAUGCAUUCUUCUAGCGAUACAUUACUUGGCGAUUCUAAACAUAAUGAGAUCGGGUGAACUCGAGUUGUUGCCCCAGUUUAUUACCAUAGGGGGAAUGAAGAAUUUAUUAUGAUUUGACCGAACCCACUGGGCUGCCUACGUAUCCCCUCUUAAACAGGAAUCAGGUUAAGCGUAGUUAAGGUUACAUCAAAUAGAAAGUGCAAACAUAAUCUUAAACAUAAUAUCUCUUGACUGUGUCUGAAUUGAUAGGUUUUGGCCAUAUCUCUCCAUCCAUCUCUUUGAGUAUGAGUGCUCCUCCUGUCAGUACUCAGUGAAUCAUGUAAGGGCCCUGCCAAUUGGGUGAGAAUUUCCCCUUUGCUUUAUCCUUAUGUGGGAAGAUCCGUUUCAAUACCAAUUGCCUCGGUGUGAAUUUCCUUAACCUAACCUUUUUGUUGAAAGCUCUUGCCAUUUUGUUUUGGUAGAGUUCACUGAGACACACUGCGUUCAAUAUCUUACCAUCAAUGAGAGCUAGUUAUUCAUACCGGUUCCAUACCCAUUCUGCGUUGUUGAGCUUGACUUCUUAUAUGAUUCUUAAGGAAGGGAUCUCCACUUCAGUGGGAAUAACGACUUCAGUAGUGUAAACCAGUAGGUAGGGGGUUGACCUAGUGGACAAGCGAACAGUGGUGCGAUACUCGAGUAAAGAAAAUUGUAGCUUUUGUGCCAUUGCUUGUAGUUGUUCACCAUUUUCCUCAAUAUCUUCUUGAUGUUCUUGUUAGCGGCUUCUACGGCUUCGUUCAUUUGUGGCCUGUAUGCUGUAGAGUUCCGAUGCUUGAUCUUGAAUAUUUCACACAUAGCUUUCAUCAAGUCACAGUUGACAUUGGUGGCAUUGUCAGUAAUGAUUGACCCAGGUACUCCAAAUCGACAAACAAUGCGAUCCCGGACAAAAUCCACUACAGCCAUGUUAGUCAUAGACUUGUAGGAUGCAGCUUCAACCCAUUUUUUGAAGUAGUCUAUGGCCACCAAAAUUAACCUGUGUCCGUUUGAAGCAGCGGGUUCGAUUGGUCUGAUGACAUCCAUGCCCCAAGCAGAGAAAGGCUAGGGUAAACUCGUUGCAUUAAUCUCGUUGGGCGGUAAUCAUAUCAUAUUAGCAUGUAUCUGACAUUGGUGACACUUUUGAACAUAUUUGAUAUAGUCUGUUUCCAUAGUCAUCCAAACAUACCUUGCUGUUAAUAUCUUCUUGGUCAUAACGAAACCGUUCAUGUGGGGUCCACAGGUUCCAGCAUGUAUUUCUUCGAGCAAUCUAGAUGCCUCCUUGGCAUCGACACAUCGCACUAAUCCUAAGUGAGGAUUUCUUCUAUACAGAAUUCCUCCGCUUUGAAAGAAAUGACUGGCCACUCUUCGGAGUGUGCUCUUCUGAGUGUGUGUAGAAUUCCCUUGAUAUUCUCCCUUUUCUAAGUUUUCUUUGAUGUCAUGGAACCACGGAUUUCCGUCAAACGCUUCUUCAAUAUGAGCACAAUAAGCUGGCUGCUUAUGAAUUCCUAUUGGGAUAUGAACGAUGAAAUUCUUGUUUGGGUGUUGUAUCAUUGAAGACAAGGUGGCUAAUGCAUCUACAAACUCAUUCUGAAUCCUUGGAACAUGUUUGAACUCUAUCUUUUUGAACCUCUUGAUCAACUCCUGUACACAAUGCAAGUACAGUAAAAAUUUGGUAUUCUUAGUAGCCCAUUCUCCUAGAACCUGAUGCACCAAUAGAUCUGAAUCUCCGAUUACCAGCAGCUCCUGAAUGUUCAUAUCGACGGCUAACCUGAGUCUCAAGAUGCAGGCCUUAUAUUCUGCCAUAUUGUUGGUACACAGGAACCUGAGUUUUGCAGAUACCGGGUAAUGUUGACCAGUUUAUAAUACUAAGACAGCCCCGAUGACCACUCCCUUGAAGUUUGUUGCUUAGUCGAAGAACAUCCUCCAACUGUCGUAUGCUUCGGUAAUAUCCUCUCCUAUAAAUGAUACCUCUUUGUUGGGAAAAUACGUCUUCAGUGGUUCGUAUUCUCCGUCUACGGGAUUUUUUACCAAAUGAUCAGCCAAUGCUUUCCCUUUGACUACCUUCCGAGUUACAUAGAUGAUAUCGAACUCACUCAGUAAUAUCUUUCACUUUGCUAACUUACCCAUAGGCAUGGGCUUCUGAAAGAUGUAUUUUAGCGGAUCCAUCCUUGAUAUGAGAUAUGUAGUGUACGCAUAAAAAUAGUGUCUCAACUUCUAGGCUAUCCAUGUCAAAGCACAGCAGGUGCGCUCCAACAAAGAGUACCCGUCUUCGUAAGGCGUGAACUUCUUGCUCAGAUAAUAUAUCGCCUGCUCCUUCCUCCCAGUUUCAUCAUGUUGUCCUAAAAUGCAACAAAAGGCCCCAUCCAACACAGACAUAUAAAGCAACAUAGGUCUUCCUGGUUCUGGUGGGACCAACACGGGUGGUUUAGAUAAAUACUCCUUGAUUUUGUCGAAGGCUUUCUAGCAUUUUUCAGUCCAGCUUGUUGCAGCAUUUUUCUUUAGCAUUUUAAAGAUUGGCUCACAUAUCACCGUUGAUUGUGCUAUGAAACGGCUAAUAUAAUUGAGGCGCCCUAGAAAACUCAUCACAUAUUUCUUAUUCUUUGGCGGUGGCAAGUCUUGGAUAGCUUUGAUUUUUGACGGGUCUAGCUCAAUACCUCGACGACUGACGAUGAAACCUAACAACUUUUCAGCAGGGACUCCGAAUGCACAUUUUGCGGGGUUCAACUUCAAGUUGUAUUUUCGAAGCAGAUCAAAAAGUUUCUUCAGGUCUGCUAUGUGAUCCGAACUCCUUUUAGAUUUGAUGAUAAUAUCAUCCACGUAGACCUCUAUUUCCUUGUGUAUCAUGUCGUGGAAGAUAGUCGACAUGGCCCUCAUGUAGGUGGCCCCAGUGUUUUUCAAACCAAAUGACAUUAUUUUGAAACAAUAUAUCCCCACGGUGUGAUAAAGGCAGUCUUUUUGGCAUCCUCUUCAUCCAUUCAAAUCUUAUGGUAUCCUGCGAAGCAAUCCACAAAGGAUUGGAGUUCAUGUUUGGCGCAGUUGUCAAUAAGUAUGUGUAUGUUAGGCAGCGGGAAAUCAUCCUUAGAAUUUGCUCUGUUCAGAUCUCGGUAAUCGACACAUACUCUAACUUUCCCAUCUUUAUUUGGAACUGGCACACUGUUGGCUAGCCAAGUCAGGUAUUCGACCACUCGGAGAACCUUAGCUUUAAUUUGUUUGGUGACCUCCUCUUUUAUCUUCAAACUCUUAUCCGGCUUGAACUUUCUGAGCUUCUGUUUUACCGGUGGACACAUGGGAUUGGUAGGUAGCUUAUGAACUACUAUGGAUGUGCUCAACCCAGUCAUAUCGUCAUAGGACCAUGCGAAAAUAUCCUCAUAUUCUUUUAGAAACCUGAUAUACUCUUCCUUUUUUGUUGGUGAUAGACAGAUGCUUAUGCGAGUUUCCUUGACUAUUUCAGAAUCCCCUAAAUUAGCGGCCUCAGUUUCCUCCAAAUUAGACUACGGUUUGUUUUCAAAAUUCUCUACUUCUUUGAUAAUUUCCUCAGGUAUUACAUCAUCCUCUAGAUCUUCCGAAUCACUGUGCUUAUGUUGCGUUGUCUCAUUACAUGUCAAAGUCGUAGGUUCACCAGGAUAUGUAAUUAUUAUGCUGAAAAUAAUGUAGAAAUAUAAUAAUAAAUAUGAAAAGCAGUAAUGCAUUAAUAAAACUUUAAAAUAUCAACAAGUGCGACUCGAUGGCUCGAGCAAUUAUUUCAAAACAAAAUACUGAAAAUGUCUUAAAUGCUCAAAACAAUUUGUAAUCAAGUAAUGCUAAUUUGCCAGGCUACCCAGGAACUCGGCAGGCUCGGGAUGGUGUAGCGGUCCAGUUCUUGAGAACAACUCCUUCUUCCAUUGUCUGAAUGGUAAGAUCUUACUCCAAAGGUCGUCAGUGCCAGUCUCAACAACAGGAGGCUUAGGUGCAGCUUCCUUGCUUGUUCCUCCCAGAUUCUCAAGUUUGUAAACUCUGCCAGUUCUAGUCAUACCAUGCGCGGCACCUGUUUCUUCCAUUUUGGCUUUUCCCUUUCUACUUGCUUCCACAACACAAUUCCACGAGACGACAUCAAACUCGUAAGAUGGUGUGGGAGCUACCAUUACAGUGAAGGGUGUAGCUAUCUCAACUUCAAAUGGCACCUGGGUUUGUACCACAACUAGCGUGAGGGUGACCGAAGAUGUUUUAGGAGCGUCUCUUUCUCGAAUGAGUCCAAUGGACACUUCCAGAUUCUACUCUUCAUCAAUUUAUAUCACCUCUGUGAUCUAGGAGAGGGUUAUUGCGGACGUUCGGUGCAAGUUCCCUUGCUUGUAUAACCUUAGUGUCGAUUAGGGCCUUCAGUAUUUUAUACAGUUGGGCUAUGGGUUCAGCAAUUGGGGUGUAUUGUCAAGGAGGUCCGCGGUUGAAAUUUGGACGUGGCUUUGGGUAGCUUUGGCGGGCAGGUGGAGAUGAAUGGUAAUAUACAGGUUGAGUGUGGUAGGUAUGGUAGGUGGUGGCAGGGUAUUGGUAUUUUGGGGGUGAGGGUUGAUAAGUGGGUGGAGGUGUUUGGUAUGUGAGGGGAGACUUAGGGCCUUAGGCUACCAUCACGGCACCCAUUUCUUUCUUCUUUGAGAUACCUCCUCAUUGUACAACUUUAUUCGUGGCUUGCAGCGCCUCGAAAUUAGUUACCAUCCCACUCUUGAUUCCUUCUUCUAUUCUUUCCGAUAACUUGAUGAUGUCUGAGAACUUGUGAUUUUCGAUGACCAUCAACCGUUUAUAAUAUUACGGAUCUUGUGCUCUAACAAAGAACUUGUUCAUUUGUUCUUCUACAAGUGUUGGCCUUACUUUUGUGGCCUCUGAUCUCCAACUAGUAGCAUAAUCGCGGAAGGUUUAUGUCGGCUUCUUCUUGAGGUUUUGAAUGUAGAAAACAUCUGGCGCAUUUUCCGUGUUGAACCUAAAUCUGUCCAUGAAAUCUGAUGCCAUACUUUCCCAAUUAGCCUACUUCUUUGGGUUUUGACUGAUAUACCAAGACAAAGCAUCUCCUGUAAUUCUUACCCACUCUUACAAGCUUGUCGCAAAACAUUCUUAGAUGCACCUUCAGAUCACCAAUGCCAUCGAACAUUUCGAACUUUAGAGGUUUGUAACCCUCUGGCAGUUCCACAUCUGGCUGAAUACACAGAUCUUUGUAAUUCAGACCUUCAAUGCCUUUCCCUCCUUCAACACUCUAGUCCCUCCCUGUGAGUUUCUUGAGUUCCUUCGCCAUGUUUCUAAUGAGCAGGUACUUCUCAAUCGAUUCAGGUAUGCAUAGGGUUUGUUGCGGGGUAUGGGGUAAGGUUUCCAUAUAUUUUGGAUUGCUUUGAUGAGCUCAUGGAACUUGGAUAUAUGGGUGGUCGUUGAUUGAGUUUUGUGGAUUGGGAAUAGGUUGUGGUGCAUUUUGGGAGUGUGAUAUGUAGUGGUUUGCGGGUAAUAAGUUGGAUGAUGGUGAUGUUGUUGAGGGGUUUGCACUGGUGGUGGGUUAAGGUUCUGGGGAGGUACGGGAUUAUGAUACUGGUGUGGUGUGGGAGGAUUUGGAGCCAUGGGUGGUGGGUUCUGGUUUUGUGUGUUUUGUGGUGGUAUUUGGUUUUGGGUAGUCAGGUUUUGCUGGUUGAUGUCGGGAACAUUGAGAGUAAGGGAAAGGUUUGCCAGAUUUCGGUCCUGCUCAAGCUCGCCCUGUAGUUCCAGGAUUUUCUGCUCCAAACAUAAGACCAACUCAUUCUGUCCCAGAGUACUUCUACCAUAUGAAGUUUCAACAUUUUCCGUCACAACAUUGUCUUUCCGGAUACCACUUAAAUCAUCCAUUUUCCCUUUGCCCUUGCUUUUGCUUUUCGGGUCACUAUGUGGAGGAGGGGGUAGAUGACCUCUGAAUCUAGUAUGGUAUGCUGACGAUGCCAGUAUGUACGAACCAACCUUUGGGAAUGGGAGUAAUCAGAAAGAAAAAAAAAAGCAAAAGGUAAACUAGUUAGUAAGGUGGAAUAAAAGAGUGUUCGCAAUAUUUAUACAUGUUUCACAAAGUCAUGCAAUAAUUCACGUCCUAAUUUGCGGACCUCAUUGUGCCUGAGGUAGGCCUAAGCGACACAUAGACUUGGAGAAAAUUGGUGCCAACGUUUGCUUCAUUUCAUUUAUGCGAAAGUGAACCAAAACAAUCUUUUACUAGAUCGACAGUAAUAUAAUAAAAGUUACUAAUGGCAUUUAGCCUUAUUACAUCGAAAUAUAAUCUAAGCUAGAAAGCAGUAAAGAACAUCAUCUUCUAAUCUACUUGGUCCCUGAAGGACCUUCUCCAUGCUUGGAUCUUUUAACAUCAUCAAUCAUGUUUCCCAGAUCGCGCAUAUCUAGCAAUAAUUAAGAUUUUGCCAGCUUCCCUCCUUCAUCGUUGUCCAUGCCUUGACAAUCCGAAAGUCGCUUUCUUAUCUUCCCUUUUAGCUCUAUCAGUCCCUGUUCCAGGUAUUCCAAUCUUUCCAUUGACUUAGUGGCAAUCUCCUUCUAUUCCCUUAUUGCCUCCAUGUUCACUUUGUGCUGCUCUAGAUGUUUAGAUUUAGACUCAAACACCCUUUUGCGUAGCCUCUUGUACUUCACCUGUGACUCAGCCGCUUCGUCUAUGAUCCUAUCCUUCAGAUUAACCCCUGGUUUGAUGUCCCCAGCUACGUCAUCUUCAAGCCAUGAUAGAUAGUAGUACAUAGGAUCGGCAUGAUACCUGUUUGGCUCAAUAGUUUCUCCUUCCACAAUGAUCUUUUGGUUCCACAUGUGUUGCGCUUCGAACUUGAAUGGGAUGACAUCUCCCUUAGAAUCUGCCUUGUACUGGACCAUGUUGGAAACCCGGGGUAUGACUUGUUUUCUUCCAGCUUGUCUCAUUACCCUUAUAGGAGCGUAAGGGUAGAUGCCUCGCAGCCCGAUCAGUAACAAAUGGUAGUUCCUUUUGAUCUGAUGAUGAACUCACUACUAGGAAACCAAUCAAACAUCUAAUGCACUUGCUCGUCUAUCAGAUUGCUAAAGAAAAAGGGCCCAACUUACAACAUUUUUAGGAUUUGCAAACCUCUCAGGGAUAAACGUCAUUUUCUUUGGGUGAUGGUUGGCUAUGUAGUCAUUUAGUGGCCUUCACAAAGGUUGUUGACGAUACUCACCCCUCUGAAAGUGUUCCAGCAACCAGACUUGUAGUACUAGAUUGAAACUCUCAAAGUGUCCAAACCCACUCUUGCACCGAUCUAGAGCACGGUACAUCUUGGCUAAGAUCAUUGGAAUGAUAGUAUAAGUUUGUCCUUCGAUACCAUCCAUCAAGGUCCUGGCGACCAUGGCUAAGCGAGUAUGAAUUCUUCCUCCUUUCAUUGGAAAGAUCAACAACCCUAGGAAGCAGACGAUGAAAACAUAAACCCGGCGAUGCAACCAUCCCAAAGAAGUAAUGGAUAGUUCAUCAUGAUAAAGACGAUAUGACUUGCUAUGCCCAUAAUGCUCAUAAAGAAACUCAAAAGGGAUGUAUGAUUUCUUUAGAAAAAGCAGUUCAUCAUUUUUCUUAAAACCCAACAUUUUCAGAAAACCGUGGGGAGUGCAAUUCUCUGGUACUUGCAUGUUAGUGUCCUUUGGGAUUGUAAGGCCCCGUAAAUAUUUCACCUACAACCCGGGGUUUCGUAAUGCCGGGGUAGACUUAUGCGUUGUUGAACAGUGCAUUAGGGAUUUGAAGAAAAGUUUUAGAAAUAUAGGGCAUUUCUGCAGUCCAUUCUGUGGUCGCAGAACUGGUUUGCGGGCCGCAUAUCGGCCUCAGACUGAAGCAGAGAACUAUGCAAAUAUUUCAGACCAUUAUGCGGCCGCAUAAUCAUUUUGCGGGCCGCAUAACUCAUCGUAGACCCAGCAUGAAAAUAUCUAGAGGGAAGUUCUGCGGCACAUUAUGCGACCACAGAACAGGUCUGCAGAUCGUAGACUGGUCGCAGAGUGGGGCAGACUUGCCCAGUUCCGGAGGGUCAUUAUGCGACUCAUUUUGCAUGCCGCAGAAGCAUUAUGCGGUCACAUAUGUGACCGUAGAUCUGUGUCGGGGCUUCAUUUUCCUAAUUUUAUAAACAUUUCGUUUAUCUAGCCUAAGGGUACAUUUUUGGAGUAUCACUUCUCAUUUUAGAGAGGAGAGAACUAUUCUAGAGAGAGGAAAGGGAGGGUUAAGGAUUUCACUACUCCACCUUGAUCGGACCUUGGGAUUGCGUUGAAUGGAACUUGCUAGGGUUUCAAAGAGGUAAGUAUUUCUUUCCCCAAUUCUUCAAUUUAUGGUUUGGGGUUCAUUAUGGGUGAUAAUGGUAGAUUUAUCACAUGCAAGAGCUAAUAGGGAUUGUAGGGAAGUUGUUGAACAAUCUUGGGUGGUUUUGUUGUUGAAUUAUUGAGGGAAAGGUUGGGUCAUAGUUGUAACUGCCCUUGUCAUACAAAUUUCUCUAAUGGUGCUUGUAAUUCUCCCCUCCUCUAUAGAUUGACAUCGUUAGGAGUGUUGGGACAUUAUUGUUGCAUUACGAAAAGCUCUUUCGAGGUAUGUUGGCUAAACUCUCCUCUUAGAAUUGAACCCCACGACACCCUUGUAAGUCCCGUGAUGCUUAUUAUAAAUUGAAUUAUUCCAAAUAAGCAUUGUGUCAAAACAAAUAUGCAUUGAAUAUGUAUUCCAAAAAUCUUGUUUUGUUGAGUUACCGUUUGAGAAUAUGGUUUAAGCAUGGGCUGUGUGUUAUUGUAUAAAAGAAAUCAUAUGUGCCUAAGAUCCUAAAUAGCUCAAGUAUGUGUUAAAGUCUUAAUUUGAAAGGCCUUGUUGCUGAUUAUCCAUGAUGAUGAUUGAAAGUGAAAUAGUGAACAUGAAUUAUGAAGUACGACCAACGUGCCAAGAAUGAUAUUGCGUUUUGGCCAAUGGUGCCAACAAAAUGAAUGAUAUGUAAAAGAAUGUGAAAUGAGUGGUAAAUCCUUUUAAUAACAAAUGCCUUGGGAGUAUCGUUUAGCCACCGAUAAAGGGUAGGUCGGAACAACCUAACCCCGAAACUACACGUCCCAGUGUAGGAAUGAUGGAGGGGAAAUCCCCGUAUUAAUGUGAUGAGACUGUUUCCCCUUAUAUGGGAUGAGAUUGGUAUGUUGAGAUGUUUCCCCUUAAAUGGGAUGAGAUUAUUGCUAGCAAGAUGUGAUGCGAUGUUGAUCCACACGACAUGGUGGUGAGACGGCACAGCCGAUCGGGCUGAGAUCGAACGCCAUGCCAUACACAUGGUAGUAUUGUGAGUGUAUGUCUCAAGGUGAGACGACUUAGCCGGUCGGGCUAAGAUCGGAUUCCGUGCUAAAACACAGUGGUGUAUCGAUGCUAAAGAUCUCCUAACUGAAAUUACUAAAACUUACUUGAAAUUUACUGUUUCCCUAAUUUGACACUUUGAUACCGUUUGAGUCUCUUAUUGAUUUCAUGUUUUAUUCUUCAUUUACUGUUACUCGUUCUAUUGAGGGGGUGUUCAGUUUUACAUACUAGUACUAUUCUAUAUGUACUAACAUCCCUUUUGCUGGGGGCGCUGCAUCUUUAAUGGAUACAGGUGGUUUCAUAGCAGGUAGUGUUUAUUAGUGAUAGUAGCACACCCUCUCCUCAGCUAACUUGGUGAGCCCCACUUUAUUUCGGGGUCCUGUAUCUCUUGACCUUUGUACAUAGCAUUUGGAGGUAUAGCCGAGGCCUUAUUGCCGGCACUGUCAUAACACUCAUUUUUUUUCCCAUUAGAGGCUCCGUAGACAUAGUGUGGGUUGUAUCUGUUUUUGGGAAGGUUAAACUAAAAAUGUUGUAAUUGUAUCAUCUGUUCCACUUUAACUAUGAUUGUACAAUGUAAUGUUUUGGAGACUUGUUAAUGACGUAGCUAAGGGAAAUGAACUGGUGUUAUUCACAUGACCUCUUACUGUCUAAUUAAUGAAAUGUAUUCUUCUCUUUAUUUAUGGGUGAGUUGGGUAGAUGGCACUGUGCAGGUUUGCUCAAAUAGGGUAACUCUGUUGAGCGCCCGUCGCGCUCCCCGAGGUCGGGGCGUGACAAACUUGUUAUUAGAGCCUAAGGUUUUAAAGUGUCCUAGGGUGUCUCGGAGCCGCGUCUAGUAGAGUCCUUAUCGGUGUGUUGUCGACCACAUCUAUAAUUAGGAGGCUACUUGGGCUUUUAGGAAUAAUACCCUUCUUUGAUGAUCUAGAAGAUCGUGUGAUAAAGCUGAUUGUAAGAUUGUUCCUCCUUUAACUCAUGCACUGCUCUAAUUUUCAGUAUAUGGCGCCUAGGAUAAAAUCAAGAACUGGCCAAUGAGCCAAUGCCACCCCAGGAGUGGCAGUUGAUCCUUUACUUGUGAGCACCUGAGGGGUGAGAAUAUUCCCCCGAAUACUACAUUGCCUGAUUCCACUACACCUGAGCAGACCGCACCAGUUCUUACACCUACUGAGGAUGUAACGAUUCCUCUAAUGGAUAUUCCAGUCCCACCUUCAGCCGCAGUUUUCGAUCCCGGUGUAUCUGAUGGGGAUCAUAGGGGAGCCAUACCAAUGUUGGCUCAGAUAGUGGCUUCCCAGGCCUAGAGAUCAGAUGUUGCGCCCACUUCUUCUAGUCAGCCAGGGGAUUCCACUAGUUCCAGGGUGAAUAGAUUUCUCCAGUGGACCCUCCAGUAUUCACAGGUACUGAUCCUGAGGAGGACCCCCAGGAUUUAAUUGACGAGAUGCGCAAGACCCUCUAUGUUAUGUGGGCUACGGAGAUAGAGGGAGCAGAUUUGGCCUCUUACCGCCUGAAAGGGGUGGCCUAUUCUAGGCUUGAGAUGUGGGAGGACUCCCAUGAGGAGGGGAGCCCUAUGGCGAGGUGGAGUGAGUUUGCCGAUGAUUUCAUUGAUCUUUUCUUGCCUGCCGAUACUAAGGCAGCCCGUUCCGCUGAGUUUGAGAACCUAAAACAAGGUAGCAUGAGUGUGUGGGAGUAUCAUAUGAAAUUCGCGCGCCUGUCCAAAUAUGCCAUCUACAUGUUGCCUACUAUGGAGGCUAGAGUGCGCCGGUUUGUGGAGGGCCUUAGCCCCUUGGUUAUUAAUGAGGCCCCUACAGCUACCUUGAAUUCUGAUAUGAACUAUGGUAAGAUGGUGGCAUUUUCUUAAGCCAUAGAGACCUGCAAACUGAAGAACAAAAUCGAGGGAGAGAGUAGCCACAAGGCUCGGUCAGCGGGCAACUUCAGUGGUACUUCUAAGGGGGUCAUCAGGGCCAUCCCAGUCCUUUACUCAGUCUUCAGUUAGUGCACCGCCAUCGGGGCCUAGUCAGCAGCAGGGGGACCAGUUUAGGCCCAGCCAGGGUAACAGGGGAUCCUACCAGCAGGGUCGGUCUGGUGGAAGAUUUCAGCAGCAGCGGAGGUCCCCAUGCCCUAGGUGCGGGAAGAUGCACGUUGGGAUCUGCUACAUAGACCAGUCCAUUUGCUACGGGUGUGGAAUGAGGGGUCAUAUUAAAAGGGAUUGUCGUUCGUCUCACCAGAGCAUGGGCAGGGGUAAACCACAGCUGCCUAGUUUUGCAGCUACUACAUCCGUAUCACCUCGUCCAGCUCGAGGAACCCCAGCACCCGUAGGGCGUGGUGUAGCUAGGGGUGGCACAUAGAGUUUGGGAAGACCCAACCAUUUUCAUGCUAUGAGGGGUCGCCAGAGUUCAAAGGCUUCUCCAGAUGUUGUCACAGGUAUAUUGACUUUCCAAUCUCAUGAUGUGUAUGCUCUUAUUGAUCCCGGUUCCACUUUGUCCUAUGUCACUCCCUAUGUUUCUAUGGAAUUUGGGAUAGAACCGGAAUAGCUCCAUGAGCCAUUCUCUGUAUCUACUCCGGUUGGUGAGUCUAUUGUGGCCGUGUGAGUCAAUAGGGAUUGUAUUUGUCACGGUGCGUGGUCAGGACACCAUGGCUGAUCUCAUUGAAUUGGGGAUGGUUGAUUUUGAUGUAAUAAUGAGGAUGGAUUAGCUUUAUUCAUGUUUCGCUAAGCUUGACUGUCGAACUAGAAAUGUUAGGUUUGAAUUUCCAACUGAGUCAGUGAUUAAAUGGAAGGGGGAUGAUGUGGUGCCGAAAGGUAGGUUUAUUUCUUACCUUAAAGCCACAAAUAUGAUUAACAAGGGGUGUAUCUACCAUUUGGUAUGGGUUACAGACACCGAUGCGGAGGCACCUACACUUGAGUUUGUGCCUGUUGUGAAUGAAUUUCUAGAGGUAUUUCUGGAUGAGCUCCCUGGGAUCCUACCAGACAGGGAGAUUGACUUUGGGAUUGAUGUGAUGCCAGGCACGCAUCCUAUAUUUAUUCCACCCUACAGAAUGGUACUAACAAAAUUGAAGGAGCUAAAAGAACAAUUGAAAGAUUUAUUAGAGAAGGGUUUCAUCCGGUUGAGUGUGUUGCCUUGGGGCACACCAGUUCUAUUUGUAAGAAAGAAGGAUGGGUUGCUAAGAAUGUGUAUUGACUAUCGGAAGCUCAACAAGGUUAUAAUAAAAAAUAAGUACCCACUGCCAAGGAUAGAUGACUUGUUUGAUUAAUUACAGGGUGCUAAGUACUUCUCCAAGAUCGAUUUAUGAUCCGGGUAUCACCAGUUGAAGAUCAGGGAGCAGGAUAUUCCGAGAACAACUUUCAGGACCCGAUAUGGGCACUUUGAAUUUUUGGUAAUGUCUUUUGGGCUAACAAAUGCCCUUGCAGCUUUCAUGGAUUUUAUGAAUAGGGUCUUCAAAACUUUCCUCGACUCCUUCGUAAUAGUGUUUAUUGACGAUAUUCUUGUUUAUUCGCGGAGUCGGGAGGACCAUGUUGAUCACCUUAAGGCAGCUUUGCAAGCCCUAUAUCAGCACCAAUUAUAUGCGAAGUUUUCAAAAUGUGAAUUUUUGCUUGAAUCUGUCACAUUCUUGGGUUAUGUUAUCUCUAGAGUAGGAAUUCAGGUUGACCCGCAGAAAAUUUCAGCCGUAAAGAAUUAGCCUAGACGUACUACCCCAACAGAGAUUCACGAUUUCUUGGGCUUAGCUGGAUAUUACAUGAAGUUUGUGUAGGGGUUCUGCACUCUUGCCUCUCCGUUGACUAAAUUGACGCAGAAGGUUGUUAAGUUCCAAUGGUCAGAUGCUUGUAAAAGGAGCUUCCAAGAGUUGAAAUCCAGAUUAACUAUGGUACCGGUGUUUACUGAUGGAUUUGUGGUAUAUUGUGAUGCUUCAAAGAUCGGUCUUGGGUGUGUAUUGAUGCAACAUGGCAAGGUAAUAGCUUAUGCUUCUAGGCAACUCAAGAAUCAUGAAAAGAACUAUCCUACACAUGACUUAGAGCUUGCGGAGGUGGUAUUUGCAUUGAAGAUUUGGCGUCAUUAUCUGUAUGGGGUCCAUGUAGAUAUAUUCACGGACCAUAAGAGCCUACAAUACAUUUUCAAACAGAAGGAAUUGAAUCUGAGGUAGAGAAGAUGGCUUGAGUUACUCAAGGAUUAUGACAUUGAUAUUCUGUAUCAUCCGAGGAAGGCUAAUAUUGUGGAGGAUGCUCUUAGCUAGAAAUCUCUGUGUAGUUUGGCUCAAUUUGUGGCAUAUCAAAGGUUGUUGGUCAAGGAGGUUCAUCCGUUGGCUAUUUUGGGAGUUCGUCUUGCGGACUCUAGUGAAUGAGGGGUGAUUGUUCAAAAUAGGGUUGAAUCGUCGCUUGUGGUAGAAGUCAAGGAUAAGCAAUUCAACGAUCCAUUGUUGGUACAACUGAAAAAGGGGAUUCAUAAACAUAAGAUCAUGGCCUUUUCUCUUGGCAUGGAUGAUGGUACCCUAAGGUACCAAGGUCGUCUAUGUGUUCCAAAUGUGGAUGCUCUCCGGGAAAGAAUCAUAACCGAGGCUCACACUUCUAAGUAUUCUGUGCACCCGGGCUCAAAAAAGAUGUAUCAUGAUCUUAGUGAAAUCUAUUGGUGGAACGAUAUGAAGAGGAAUGUAGCGAACUUUGUGGCAAGAUGUCCAAAUUGUUAGCAAGUGAAAGCCGAACAAUAAAGGCCCGGUGGGUUGGCACAGAACAUAGAGAUUCUGAUGUGGAAGUGGGAGAUGAAUAAUACGGACUUUGUGGUAAGGCUACCUCGCACUCCUCGCAAAUUCAACUCGAUUUGGGUGAUUGUGGAUCGACUCACGAAAUCAGCACACUUUUUAUCUGUUAAGGCUACCGACACAGCAGAACAGUAUGCUCAGUUUUACAUCAAGAAAAUAGUCAGGUUACAUGGAACUCCGGUUUCUAUUAUCUCAGAUCGAGGGGCACAGUUUACGGCUAAUUGUUGGAAGAAAUUUCAGAAAGGUUUGGGUACCCAGGUGAAUCUUAGUACAGCCUUUCACCCACAUACUGACGGGCAGGCAGAGCGGACUAUUCAGACGCUUGAGGAUAUAUUGCGCACUUGUGUUUUUGACAUCAAAUGUAGUUGGGAUGAUCAUUUUCCGCUCAUAGAGUUUUGCUACAAUAACAGUUAUUAUGCCAACAUUCAGAUGGCACCAUUCGAGGCUUUAUAUUGUAGAAGAUGUAGAUCUCCCAUUGGGAGGUUUGAGAUUGGGGAAGCGGAGUUGAUAGGUUAGAUCUCAUGCAUCAGACUAUGGAAAAGGUUAAGAUCAUUAAGGAGCGGUUGGAAACUGCUCAGAGUCGUCAGAAGUCCUAUUCAGAUGUUCGUCACAGGGAUUUGGAGUUCAAAGAAGAUGAUUGGGUAUUCUUGAAGGUUUCCCCUAUGAAGGGUAUAAUGCGGUUCGGUAAGAAAGGAAAAUUGAGUCUGAGGUAUGUCGGACCGUACAAAAUCAUUCAGAGGAUUGGUCAGGUGGCUUACAGGAUAGAACUACCUCCAGAAAUGACUUUAGUGCACCCGGUGUUCCACGUGUCCAUGUUGAAAAUGGUGGUUGGAGAUCCAUCGCUUAUUGUUCCGAUUGAGACCAUUAAGGUUCAUGAAGAAUUGACUUACGAAGAAAUUUCAGUUGCCAUCCUUGAUAGGAAAGUCUGAAAGUUGAGGAACUAAGAGAUUGCCUUCGUGAAAGUACUAUGGCAAAACCAGCAAGUUGAAGAGGCCACCUGGGAGGCCGAGGAAGAAAUGAGGAAGAAGUACCCUCAUUUUUUUGAAUAUCCAUGUAUUUAUAAUGUUGUGUUCUAUAAAAAUGCUAAGAGUUACCUUCUAUGAAUUAGCUAUCAUUUGUACAAUUGAUGUUCAAGGUGUUCCGUUUUGGUAGUAUACUGCCCGUGAGGCCACGGUUGGCAUUAUUUUAAUGUUAUGUUGCAUAGUUAGUUCCUAUAUAUGUUGUUAGGACUGCUUUUGGGAUUCUAUGGCUGGUGGAUAGGCCCAAUUAUAGGGGAGACUCUAGCGAAAUAUUUGGAUAUUUAUGGAGUUAGUCAAAAAAAUUGGAACUGUUGGUGUGUGUUGUAGCAACUGAGUCACAUUGGGUGCUAAUGGUGAAUUUUGACCCAUAUUCGAGGACGAAUGAUCCUAAGUGGGGGAGGAUGUAAGGACUCGUAAAUAUUUCACCUAAAACCCGGGGUUUCGUAAUGCCGGGGUAGACUUAUGUGUUGGGUUGAACAGUGCAUUGGGGAGUUGAAGAAAUAUUUUAGAAAUAUAUGGCAUUUCUGCGGUCCAUUAUGCGGUCGCAGAACUGGUCUGCAGACCGCAUGUCGGCCGCAGAUUGAAUCAAAGAACUAGGCAAAAAUUUCGGACCAUUAUGCGGCCGCAUAAUCGUUUUGCGGGCCGUAUAACCCAUCGCAGACCCAGCAUGAAAAUUUCCGGAGGGAAGUUUUGCGGCACAUUAUGCGACCGCAGACUGGUGGUAGAGUGGGGCAGACUUGCCGAGUUUCGGAGGGCCAUUAUGCGGCCCAUUUUGCGGACCGCAGAAGCAUUAUGCGGUCGCAUAUGCGACCGUAGAUAUGUGUCUGCCCUUCAUUUUUCUAAUUUUAUAACCCGACCCCCAUUUCGUCUAUCUAGCCUAAGGGUUCAUUUUUGGAGGAUUUCUUGUCAUUUUAGAGAGAGGAGAGAACUAUUCUAGAGAGAGAAAAUGGAGGGUUAAGGAUUUCACUACUCCACCUUGAUCGAACCUUGGGAUUGCAUCGAAAGGAACUUGCUAGGGUUUCAAAGAGGUAAGAAUUUCUUUCUCCAAUUCUUCAAUUUUGGGUUUGGGAUUGAUUAUGGGUGAUAAGGGUAGCUUUAUCACAUGAAAGAGCCAAUAGGGCUUGUGGGGAAGUUGUUGAACAAUCUUGGGUUGUUUUGUUGUUGAAUUGGUUGAGGGAAAGUUUGGGUCAUAGUUGUAAUAGCCCUUGUCAUAUGAAUUUCUCUAAUCGUGCUUGUAAUUCUCCCCUCCCCUAUAGAUUGGCAUCGUUAGGAGUGUUGGGACAUUAUUUUUGCAUUACGAAAAGCUCUUUCGAGGUAUGUUGGUUAAACUCUUCUCUUAGAAUUGAACCCCACAAUACCCUUGUAAGUCCCGUGAUGCUUAUUAUAAAUUGAAUUAUUCCAAAUAAGCCUUGUGUCAAAACAAAUAUGCGUUCAAUAUGUAUUCCAAAGAUUCUUGUUAUGUUGAGUUACCGUUUGAGAAUGUGGUUUAAGCAUGGGCUGGGUGUUAUUGUGUUAUGAUUUAAAAAUAUGUUUCUAAUGAAAGUUAUCAUGUCAAAUUGUGUAAAAGAAAUCACAUGUGCCUAAAACCCUAAAUUGCUCAACUAUGUGUUAAUGUCUUAAUUUGAAAGACCUUGUUGUUGAUUAUCCAUGAUGAGGUUUGAAAGUGAAAUAGUGAACAUGAAUUAUGAAUUACGACCAACGUGCCAAGAAUGAUAUUGCGUUAUGGCCAAUGGUGCCAACAAAAUGAAUGACAUGUAAAAGAAUGUGAAAUGAGUGGUAAAUCCUUUUUUAUAAUAAAUGCCUUGGGAGUAUCGUUUAGCCACCGAUGAAGGGUAGGUCGGAACAAUCUAACCCCGAAACUACACGUGUCGGUAUAGGAAUGACGGAGAGGUAAAUCCCCAUGUUAAUGUGAUGAGACUGUGUCCCCUUAUAUGGAAUGAUAUUGGUGUGUUGAGAUGUUUCCCCUUAAAUGGGAUGAGAUUAUUGCUAGGGAGAUGUGAUGUGAUGUCGAUCCACAUGGCAUGGUGGUGAGACGGCUUAGCCGAUCGGGCUGAGAUCGGACUCCGUGCUAAAACACGGUAGUGUAUCGAUUUUCCCAACUUAAAUUACUGAAACUUACUUGAAAUUUACUUUUCCCCUAAUUUGACACUUUGAUACCGUUUGAGUCUCUUAUUGAUUUCAUGUUUUAUUCUCUGUUUACUGUUACUCGUUUUAUUGAGGGGGUGUUCAGUUUUACAUACUAGUACUAUUCUAUAUGUACUAACGUUCCUUUUUCCGGGGCGCUGUAUCUUUAAUGGAUGCAGGUGGUUAUGUAGCAGGUGGUGUUGAUCAGUGAUAGAAGCACACCCUCUCUUCAGCUAACUUGGUGAGCCCCACUUCAUUUCGGGGUCCUGUAUCUCUUAUCCUUUGUACAUAGCAUUUUGAGGUAUAGCCGGGGCCUUAUUGCCGGUACUGUCAUAGCACUCAUUUGUUUUCGUUAGAGGCUCCGUAGACAUAGUAUGGGUUGUAUCUAUUUUUGGGAAGGUUAAACUAAAAAUGUUGUAAUCGUA
rnacentral:lncRNA from 1 species